ensembl:lincRNA
AAACCGAUGAGAAGCCGAGGUUUUCUGGGCUCUCAGUUCUCACGGAGUGAUAGUCUAGGUGAACAAUUAUGUGAGAAUAGGCAGAGGAAGUGUGGGAUUGAUGUACAAUCGUUGCCCCCUACAGAAUUGCUGGAGAAGUCAGCACCAGGUCUGGAGUGAUACGUUGGCCACUCUCUUGUGGGAGAGUCCAGAGCCCACACAGACAAGAAGAGGCAGAACUGGGACCAUCGCUGGUCUUCUGAUACCAAAUCCAGCACUGAGUUGCAGGCUACCAUCACCCAUGACCCAAUGACAAAGACGUUUAUCUGAACUCAUCCCGUAAGUCUUGGGGGAAUCUUAUCGAGACAAAGAAAGAGAAGGUAUCAGGAAUACUGUGAAUCAGAGAUCUUUGCUUCUGUAUGCAACAAGCAUCACUCCACCACCAACAGCAACGUGAAUCACCACACCAAGCCUCCGUUCUCCUCAACCUCCACCACCAUGACUCAGAUGUACCACCAACCACCAACGCCACGUCAACACCAACCUUUACCACCACCACCAACAACCAGCCCUGCCAACACCACCAUCGUCAGCAUCAACUAUCACGGUCAAAAUCAUCACCACCGUUGCAACACUUACAUGUAUACACUUAUUUUGCUUUUCAAAAUACACUCACACACAUGAUCUCAUCAGAUCUUAUCUGCGGGGUAAAGUUGGCCAAUCUGGCAUUGCUCUUCUCAUUUUAUCUGUAAACUAAAUUCCAGAGAGGUGGGAUGAUUGUGUACACAGACACGAAAGCAGUGAGACUCAAGUCCGGAGUAGAGUCCAGAGCAUCUGAGUCUAAAAAGUGUAUUUCCCAGUGCACUCCACUCAGUGAAAACAAAGAAUCUGUAACUUCUGAUAUAAACAACUUUGGUUCUGAAUUCAGUGGAGUCAGAGUCUUUAAAAUGAAAUGGCCCUGUGGGCCUGGGAUGCAGCUCAGUGGUGCUGCUGCCUACCUCACAAGCUCAAGGUCCUGAGUUCGAUCCCUGGUACCAAAAACAAAAACAACAACAAAAAACACUGGCUCUUCAAAAUUCAAUGGUCCUUUGGUUCCAUCUAUCCCAACUUCUAAAGGUUCCAGGUGAGCAACCAGCCACUUAAACUUUAUGUGACCUCUCUCUAGAAGUUGAAUUUUAAUCUAGAGCAUUUCACUCCAAUUCCGCCUUCUUUCCAUGGCAAGAACCCACCUGUUUCCUUAGAGUAUCCUGGGUUCCUCUGAGAACACUGGGUGCAUACACCCUUCCCUAUAGCACAGGGUUUGCUAGGGACAGGAAAGUAUGGCUUCUGCUAUCCCCACCCUAAAGUGUCAGAAAGUCUUGCAGAAAUAUAAACUACUGGUGUCUGGCCCCCUGCCCAUCAGUCAGAAGUGCCCUUAGCAUGCUGAUGCUCUUUUAGCCCCAUUCAAGGGCUCAACCCCUUUCUUCAGGUUCCAGGAAACCCAAAGCUACUACUCCUUCUUCAAAAGAGGUUGGAGCCUCCCAUUGGAGAUCUGCUGGCUUGACUUUCAAGGACUCCCCUGGGCUCCAGUUUGGGGCCCACUGUUUCCGCCCUUUGACACCAGGCUGGCCUGGAUAGGCUGCAGGACAGCUGUAUUGCUAAUGAUCAGUGAGGAAUAUUUGUCCACCUUGCUCUGGAGCCCUUUCUUUUUGAGCUCAAAGGUCAAAUUGGAAUAAUAAAUAUCUUCCAAAGACUUAUCGUUCUUCCUAAGGAUGUUGCUGGCCAACUGGAAGAGGAAAAUCACUCCAAAGAAGCCGAUGAUGGUGAGGAUGUACCAGGCCGCACUCAUCCCCUCCAGCAGCUGCAGAGCCCUGGUGGAGUUGGUGCUGUUCCUCUCUCCCAGGGGAUCAUUCAGGAGGGAGGUGGCACUUGUCUGGUUGGAUGCUCCCAGUGGUAUCUGCAUGAUAACUGAGAAAUACAGAAGUCCAGAUAAGACAAAGCAUUUUGGGCUGAGAACCACAUGGCCAAGCCAGUUCUCCUAUCAGCGAGGGCCUUGUAUCAGUGACAGCUGGGAUGGCUGAAGUUAAGAGGCAUUCUUUAUGGAGUGAGCAAGAGCCUAACAAACUACAUGUCAACAGAUUUUUUGAAAAUCUUGAGUUGAGCACACAAAGUUCUAGAUUAGGAGAUGAAGCACCAUCAAACUGUCUGUCUCACCAAAUAUUCUACACAUAGACAAAGUUUUCAUUUGGAAAAAGUCACUGUCUAGACUAUGUAGGAAAAAUCCAGGACAUAAAGAGUGAUGAGUGAAUUAGCCUAACCAGAAGUUUAAAACUAGCCAACCAAAGAAAUUAAUUUACAUUUUCUUAAAUUAAAUGAAGUUAGUAAAAUCACAGGUUAGGUGAGCUUUGCACAGGGCUUGGGGGAACCUCCAGAACCAGGAACAGCUCUCCCUACCACGUCUUCCUAUAAAGCUACAAUUGCUAAAGCAGUGUGAUGUGGAUACAAGGGCAAGAAGAACAGGGGAGUAGAGAAGACUCCAUCCAUAGGAGAGGAGCUGCACCAGAGUGGAUGAUAAAGGAGCUUUUCUGAUUAGUAGGGAACAGGUGGGGUUAUUCACUAAGUAGGAUUGGUGCAGUGUAGCUUUGGAUCCACAUUUCUCACUGUUGCUGCCCAAACAGUCCAGAUAAAUCAAAGAUAUUAACAUAAAAAGUGAAAUAACUAAGUACUAGAAUAUAACUAUGGCAUUUUUUUUCUUUAUUAUCUUGAGUGGAAUAUCCUUUCUAAGCACAGUACAGAAAUCCAGACGAAAGAAUAAAAGAAAAAGUGAAAUUCAAGUACAUUUUACUUUUUUAAAGUUACUGCAUGCCAUAAAACCAAAUGACAAAGGACAAACUGGAGAACUAUUGCAAUUUGUAUGACUCAUUUUCUUAACAACUGUCAGUUCUGUUGGAAAAAAAAUGUCUAAAACCUCAGUAGAAAAAUGUGCCAAGGAUAUAGACAAAUAGAUUAUAGGGAGAAAAUGGGAACAUAAAAAACCUCCUCAACAUCAUGCCUAAGGAAAAAGCAAAUUAAAAGUGGGAUAGGAUUCUGUAACCUAUUAGGUUUGCAAACUUCUGAUGUUUCAAAAUACACGUUGUAGACACACCUGCUGGGUAAUGAGGCCCUUGUAUAAUUACUGAUCAAAUGUAAAUUCAUACAAGCAAUAUGGAGUGCCAGUGCUCAAGACCUGUGGAUAUUACAAAUGCUCUGAUCUUCGGGCCAACAAUUCUUACAAUUUUUAGUAAUUUGUCCUGAAGAUGCUGUAGAACAUGUCUGACACAAUGAACAGACAGCCCUCCUUAUUCAUGGGUUCUGCAUCCACGAACUCAAACAGCCAUGGAUCAAAAAUAUUCUGAAAUGAAAAACCAAUUCAGUACCAAACAGGUAGGUACAGACCUUUUUUUCCUUGUCAUUAUUCCCUAAACAGCACACUGUAACCACUAUCUGCAUGGCAUUUACACCGUGUGAGGUAUCAUAUGUAAUAUGGAGGUGAUCUGAAGUGUAUGGUACAUUGCACCAUUUGUAUGAAGAUACUGUGCCACUUUAUAUAAAGGAUUUGAAGUGUCUGCCAUUUUGGUAUCUGUGUAGUCCCUGGAACCAAUUCCCAGUGAUCCCAAGUGAUGAGAGUGUUAAGGUGAGACACUGCAGCCUCGCUUGUGCUGAAUGAUGCCUGGGGUCAAUGUGAACAUUAGAGAGUGGCUAAAUACAUUUUGGAGAGCUGGUUGUGGUGGUGUACACCUGUAACCCUGGUGCUCAGGACUGCUGUGAGUUCAAGGCCAACCUGGGAUGUACAGUGAGUUCAACGCCAGACUGAACCACACAGCAAGAUUCUGUCUCAAAAAACAAGAAUAAAUAAGUAAAUUUUGGAAUUUCCAAGCCAAGGAACAGAGUGCAGCCAUAAAAAGAUUUUUAGGUAGUAAAUAAUAAUAGCUUAAAAAUGAAUAUGUCAUAUGUAAUAAUGCAUGUUAAAAAGGGGGGGUACAUUUUAUUUGCCUGUAGCUUAUAUAUGUAUAUGUGUCAGUCAGCUUUCCUCUUCUGUAACAAAUGCCUGAGAUAAAUCAACUUUUAAAGAAGGGAAGCUGCCCACCUCAUUGCAGCUAGGAAGCAGAGAGAGAGAGGAAAGGUCUGGGGCCCCAAUAUCCUCUUCAAGGCCAAGGCCCCUAGUGACCUAAUGUCUUCCCAUUAGGCUCCACCUCUUAAAGGUUCCACUCCUGCCCAGCAGCACCACAGGCUGGAGGCCACGCCCCCAGUUACCUAAUAGCCUCCCAUUAGGCUCCACCUCUUAAAGGUUCCACCCUGGCCCAGGAGCACCACAGGCUAGAGGCCCAGCUUUUAACACAGCCUUUGCGUGGUUUUGCAAACCACGGCCACAUGGAAUAUCUAUGGGAGAAUUCUCAAGAAAUUGGACCCCGUGGUUACCUCUGGGGAAGAGAAUGGGGGAAAGAAGAUGUACUUUUCACUGUCUGCCUUUUGUACAUUUUGCA